CUGUGUGUGAUGGGUUGGCAGUGUAUUGUUAGCUGGUUGAAUAUAUGAAUGGCAUCAGCUAACAUACAACUGCUAUCUUAUUGCAUAUACA
ensembl:miRNA